rnacentral:rRNA from 1 species
CGGGGGUAAACGUGAGAAACCCGAAAUAGCACAACCGGAGAGAUUCACGCCCAUCCGGCAUUCGGACCUCCGGCGGCCAGAUGGGACCGCGCGCCCGCACGGAGCAAUCCGUGACGGAGUCGUCUGCGGUUACCUGUCCACUCGGCCGUUCGGGGUGAAUCGAGUUCGGUGGGCCGCAUUUCUCUCCACGUUGGACGUCGCGACCCGUUGGGUGCCGGUCUAAGGCCCGGGGCAGAGUCUGGCCGUCCGCUUUGCGUGUCGGUCAGCAGCCUGGUGUUCCCGGCCGGCGGCUCGACGGUACGGUUGCGAGGAGUAGAUUCGCCGCCCCUCGGGGCGGGCGUCUGGCCCCCGGCAAGCGCGUGCGCGGUUCUGGAAGUCGGACCUCCGGUCCGGCUCUGGGCCCGCAUCGCUGUUAGCCCGGGUGCGUCUCGGACGGAAGAAUCGUUGACUCCGGUCAGCGGCGCUAAAGCUUUGGGUAAUUUCACGACCCGUCUUGAAACACGGACCAAGGAGUCUAACAUGUGCGCGAGUCAUUGGGCUGUAAAACCCAGAGGCGCAAUGAAAGUGAAGGUCUCGCCUCGCGCGGACCGAGGGAAGAUGGAGUGCGCGUCAGCGCAUCUCUCGCAUUCCCGGGGCGUCUCGUUCUCACUGCGAGUUGAGGCGCACCCAGAGCGUACACGUUGGGACCCGAAAGAUGGUGAACUAUGCCUGGCCAGGACGAAGUCAGG